rnacentral:rRNA from 1 species
CCCUUAGAUGUUCUGGGCGGCCCGCGCACUACAAUGGCGUGUGCAGCGAGUGCCGAAGUAGAGUUUUCCGAGGUAUUCUUGCAAUGCUCGUUUUGAUGGGGAUAGACCCUUGCAACUGUUGGUUUUGAACGAGGAAUUCCUUGUAAGCAUGGUUUAUCAUCCGACGCUGAAUGCGUCCCUGCCCUUUGUACACACCGCCCGUCGCUCCUACCGAUGAGUCGUCCGGUGAAGUUCGUAGACCUCGUGAUCGCGGAUCACUGGGGGAAGCAAAAUGAACCUCGCGGUUUAGAGGAAGGAGAAGUCGGAACA